ACCAACUACCAUUUUGUUAUCUUUUAAACAUUUUAUUGGUUUGGGCUUUUUACAGUAUAAUGGCUGUGCGUUUUGAAAGGGGGAGCUUCUUGAGAGUGAACAUUUCAGAACCAGAAGGGAGCUGCAUGAGCUUUUAUGACUGAGCCUCAGAACUCACACAGUGUCACUUCCACCGUAUUCUGUGGCUAGAAUUAUGCACAGGCUCAUCCAGGUUAAAAGAGAUGGGGACAAUGAGGUGUCAAAGAACUUGAAGCCAUGAUUUAAAACUGUCAUGCCAUUUACUAGGGAGUUCUAAGAAAGCUUUCUUUCUUUUUCUUAGAAGCUCCUAGGGAAAGACAGGGAGAGGAACAAGCUGAGGCGGGGAGAUCAUGUGUUCGAAUAUUUAAAAAAUGCCAUUGGGAUUUUGAUGAGAAUUGUGUUGAAUCUAUAGAUCACUUUGUGCAGCCACUGAAGACCUCGUGAAGAAAGCAGUAUGCUGGAAAGACACAUAAAAUCCACCAUCGAGACUUCAGCACUGAAGCUCCCAUUGUAUUGUUCCAGUACAGAGCAGCAGGUAAGGAAAUGGAACAGAGCAAGGAGGCUUUCAGGUACUGAACCAAAGCCGAUGUGACACAUGGCCGCUGUGGUGGGAAUCAGCAUCUUAACUUAGUCAGGUAUGAGUGAGUCUUACAGUGUGAUGUCAAUGUAGAUCACUAACGUGAAGAAAUAUUUUAUGAUAGAAAUCGGGGCACCUGGGUGGCUCAGUCGGUUGAGUGUCUGACGUUGGCUCGGGUCGUGAUCUCAUGAUUUGUGAAUUUGAGCGCCGUCUUGGGUUCUGUGCGUAUAGCUCAGAGCCUGGAGCCUAAUUCAGAUUCUGUGUCUCCCUCUCUGCCUUUUCUUGCUCACGCUCUGCCUCUCUUUCCUCUCUCUCAUUCUCUCUCAAAAAUAAACAUUAAAAAAUUAUAAUAGAAAGGAAUUUAAAAAUUUUUGCAGUAUGUGAUUUUCGUGUCUUGUUCAAAUAAUGCAACUCAGUGUCCUUGGUAGUUAUUACAACUGUUUACAUGGUAGCAAGUGGUGACUUAUGCCUGGCUCUUAGUCCCGCGGAGAGGAACCAGUGGUGAACAGUUCCUGGCGUGGCCUCUGGAGCAGUUAUUUGCAUGCGGGGAAUUCCAAGUUUCACAAAGGAGGCUGGGUUCUGGAAAUUUAUGCAUACUCAGAAGGCCUCACUGGGGAGUGAGAUCUGAGAUGGCUCUGGAAAAGAAAGCUGUUUGGCUGACUGAUGCACUGGGGGUACUAACAUAGAUAGAGGGAAGGAGAUGAAGGAAAAAAGUUUCAGGUACAGGAAAGGAAUACAGGAUCUGGGGCCGGUUAAAGAGGAGAUUAGGGGCACCUGGGUGGCUCAGUCAGUUAAGCGUCCAGCUUCAGCUCAGGUCAUGAUCUGUGGUUCGCGGGUUUGAACCCCCCAUCAGGUUCUGUGCUGACAGCUCGGAGCCUGGAGCCUGCUUCAGAUUCUGGGUCUCCUCUCUCUGCCCCUCUCUCACUCAUGCUCCAUCUCUCUGUCUCUGUCUCUGUCUCUCUCAAAAAAAUAAACAUUAAAAAAAAUUUUUUUUAAACAAAGAGGAGGUUAAAUGGGAUGGAUUGGAUUGAUGGAGUUUUUCCUAAUCAUUCUGAUCUGGCAUUUGUUUGAGUGUUCUGUGACUUUUAGUCAUUGUGUUUCCUCAUAAUAUAUAUGCCAACACUGAAGUGGUUCAUGACCCCGGGGGCCAAAUUCAUAGAAUCACUUUAAGAAGACAGAUAGACAGGUGUCUAACCAUGAAGCUAUUUGGCAACAUUCAGGUCCCACUUAAGAAUAUUACCCGGAUUUAAGAUAAUCCUCAGAGGAUUUGGGUUCCAUUAAAAAUUUUGAGCACAGGAUAGAUGUCAUCCUUGAUUCCUUAUUUAAUAAAAAUAAAGAUAAAUUGGUGCACACACACCAGCGCCCUGAAAUCAGAGAUGAUUAGAAAUAACUUGAUUGGAAAUACAUUCAGACAGAUAGAA